rnacentral:rRNA from 1 species
GACGAACGCUGGCGGCGUGCUUAACACAUGCAAGUCGAACGGAAAGGCCCUGCUUUUGUGGGGUGCUCGAGUGGCGAACGGGUGAGUAACACGUGAGUAACCUGCCCUUGACUUUGGGAUAACUCCAGGAAACUGGGGCUAAUACCGGAUAGGAGCUCCUGCUGCAUGGGGGGGGUUGGAAAGUUUCGGCGGUUGGGGAUGGACUCGCGGCUUAUCAGCUUGUUGGUGGGGUAGUGGAUUACCAAGGCUUUGACGGGUAGCCGGCCUGAGAGGGUGACCGGCCACAUGGGGACUGAGAUACGGCCCAGACUCCUACGGGAGGCAGCAGUGGGGAAUAUUGCACAAUGGGCGGAAGCCUGAUGCAGCAACGCCGCGUGCGGGAUGACGGCCUUCGGGUUGUAAACCGCUUUCGCCUGUGACGAAGCGUGAGUGACGGUAAUGGGUAAAGAAGCACCGGCUAACUACGUG